ensembl:rRNA 5S_rRNA 5S ribosomal RNA
GUCUUCAUCCAUUCUACCUCGAACACACCCAAUUUCCUCGAAUCUCAGAAGCUAAGCAGGGUUGGGCCUGGCUAGUAUUUGAAUGGAGACA